rnacentral:rRNA from 1 species
UACGUAGGUGGCAAGCGUUGUUCGGAAUUACUGGGCGUAAAGCGCGCGCAGGCGGCCCUUUAAGUCCGUCGGUCAAAUGCCGGGGCUCAACCCCGAUGCAUGCCGAGGAUACUGGAGGGCUGGAGACACGUAGAGGCAAGCGGAAUUCCGGGUGUAGCGGUGGAAUGCGUAGAGAUCCGGAAGAACACCGGAGGCGAAGGCGGCUUGCUGGGCGUGAUCUGACGCUGAGGCGCGAAAGCGUGGGGAGCGAACAGG